UACGGAGGGUGCAAGCGUUAUCCGGAUUCACUGGGUUUAAAGGGUGCGUAGGCGGGUUGGUAAGUCCGUGGUGCAAUCUCCAAGCUUAACUUGGAAACUGCCGUGGAUACUAUCAAUCUUGAAUAUAGUGGAGGUGAGCGGAAUAUGUCAUGUAGCGGUGAAAUGCUUAGAUAUGACAUAGAACACCCAUUGCGAAGGCAGCUUACUACGGAUGCAUUGACACUGAGGCACGAAAGCGUGGGGAGCAAACAGG
rnacentral:rRNA from 1 species